rnacentral:rRNA from 1 species
GUGAGGAAUUUUCCGCAAUGGGCGAAAGCCUGACGGAGCAAUGCCGCGUGAAGGAUGAAGGCCUAUGGGUUGUAAACUUCUUUUCUCAGAAAAGAAUUAUGACGGUAUCUGAGGAAUAAGCAUCGGCUAACUCUGUGACAGCAGCCGCGGUAAGACAGAGGAUGCAAGCGUUAUCCGGAAUGAUUGGGCGUAAAGCGUCUGUAGGUUGUUUAAAAAGUAUUAUAUCAAAGAUUAGGGCUUAACCCUAGAUAGGCAGAUUAAACUUUUAAGCUAGAGUUUGGUAGAGGCAGAGGGAAUUCCCGGCGGAGCGGUGAAAUGCGUAGAUAUCGGGAGGAACACCAAAGGCGAAGGCACUCUGCUGGGCCAAUACUAACACUGAGAGACGAAAGCGAGGGGAGCAAAUGGGAUUAGAAACCCGUGUAGUCC